CCACCAACACCUUCCUCCCUGGGCGUCCGGGCCGCGGCCCCGGGUCCGAGGGGUCCCGGGGAGACCUGGAGUGGGUCAAGCGGCCUUUGGGUUCCCCGGGCUGGGCUGGGGCUUAUCCCGGCCUUGGUGCCUAGCGCCUGGGGGUGCUUGGAAACCCCGCCCCGCUGCGUGCGCGCCCCCAAUCAGCGCUCCCCAUCUAGCCGCCCCACUGUGUGACUCCGGCCGUGCCUGCCCCUCUCUGGGCCUCGCAGGAGCCUGGCGGCUGGACUGGGGCUCUCAGGGGGGUCAACUGGGUUCCUCCCCCUUCCUGGAGCGUCCCAGCCUUGGUUUCCCCAGUCAGGUGUGGAAACAGACCAGAGAGAAACGACUUGGCCACUCACAUAGCCAGGAAAUAAAGCUGGAAGUUGAACCCCAUGCUUUAAAAAAAAAUACUUAAUUAAAUUAAUUUCUUUAUUUGUGGC